AUUGAACGCUGGCGGCAUGCUUUACACAUGCAAGUCGAACGGCAGCGCGAGCUUCGGCCUGGCGGCGAGUGGCGAACGGGUGAGUAAUACAUCGGAACGUGCCCAGUAGUGGGGGAUAGCUCGGCGAAAGCCGGAUUAAUACCGCAUACGACCUGAGGGUGAAAGCGGGGGAUCUUCGGACCUCGCGCUAUUGGAGCGGCCGAUGGCAGAUUAGCUAGUUGGUGGGGUAAAGGCCUACCAAGGCGACGAUCUGUAGCUGGUCUGAGAGGACGACCAGCCACACUGGGACUGAGACACGGCCCAGACUCCUACGGGAGGCAGCAGUGGGGAAUUUUGGACAAUGGGCGAAAGCCUGAUCCAGCAAUGCCGCGUGUGUGAUGAAGGCCUUCGGGUUGUAAAGCACUUUUGGCGGGAACGAAAAGGACUGUGCCAAUACCACGGUUCGAUGACGGUACCCGCAGAAUAAGCACCGGCUAACUACGUG
rnacentral:rRNA from 1 species